rnacentral:rRNA from 1 species
UACAGAGGUCCCAAGCGUUGUUCGGAUUUAUUGGGCGUAAAGGGUGCGUAGGCGGCGGAGUAAGUUGGGUGUGAAAUCCCGGGGCUCAACCUCGGAAUGGCAUUCAAUACUGCUUCGCUAGAGUACUGGAGAGGAGGCUGGAAUUUACGGUGUAGCAGUGAAAUGCGUAGAUAUCGUAAGGAAGGCCGGUGGCGAAAGCGAGCCUCUGGACAGUUACUGACGCUGAUGCACGAAGGCCGGGGGAGCAAACGGG